ACUAUAUGUUUAUUUGGAUUCGAAUGCAUGUCAUUAAGCAUCCCAGAAGCCCUAUUUUGAAAGAUUUAUUAAAUUUUUUCUCUAUUAAUGGAGGUUGAUUUCAAAGUAAAAGCCUAUAAUACCUCAGUUAGACACAGUAAAUCAAAUUUGACCCUUACAUUUUGACUUCUUUUUCUUUUGAUCCUUGAGAUGUGGCAAAGCUCCAACCAUUUUAUUUCUUUCCUGCUCUUUUGGUUUCUUUCUUCUUCUUUCAUUAUCAUUUUUUUAUGUGAACAGAGCAAGAGAUGAGAUCAGGGCAACAUCUUAAAUCCAAACCCUAUUUAUGCAGAUCAUGGGUUUCUCUUUCUCUUGGAGAAAUUGAGCCAAUUUCAUAGGUUUUCUCUUCCAAUCUUGAUUUGUAAUAAAGGAAUCUUUUGCCCCAUCCAGUCCCUAAGUGACAGAACUUGCGCUGGAAUUGACAGAACUUAUACAAGCUGGCACAUUUUGCUCCAUUAAACCUUGUGUUUUUGUGCCUUUUCACUGCCAAGAAUAGUUCCGCAAUGCCUACUCAAAGUGUCUUAUUUUGGCCGAGCAUGUCAUCUUCAACAUAUAUUGUUUUCGUUGCAUAAUGUGGUUCUAAUUUUAUUUUUUUAUUAACGUUGGUGUCCGAGUCAGCUUGCACGCACCUCGACUAAUCUUACGGGUCCUGAAGUUAACGAUCAUAUAAAUUUUUAGUGACAAUGAGAGGACUCGAACUCGUGAUCAUUGAAAAAUAAAUCCAAGACCUGACCAAUUAAGCUACUCCUCAGGGUUUACUGUGCUUUUAUUUUGCUUGAGCAUACAUGAUAUAAGCCAUGUUUCUCAGAUUAACUUCAUGCUCCAUUAAAGUCCAGUUUUGCUGUUGUGCUAUUUUAUUUUAGUUCUCUAAUUACACCUUUUCGUUA